rnacentral:sRNA from 1 species
AUGAACCACUCGUGCACGACGGUUCCUGCGCGCCGUCCGUGCCCGGCUGGAGACUAUUCACGUCCCUUCGUUAGCC